rnacentral:rRNA from 1 species
CGCCCAGACUCCUACGGGAGGCAGCAGUGGGGAAUAUUGCACAAUGGGGGAAACCCUGAUGCAGCGACGCCGCGUGAGCGAUGAAGUAUUUCGGUAUGUAAAGCUCUAUCAGCAGGGAAGAAAAUGACGGUACCUGACUAAGAAGCCCCGGCUAACUACGUGCCAGCAGCCGCGGUAAUACGUAGGGGGCAAGCGUUAUCCGGAUUUACUGGGUGUAAAGGGAGCGUAGACGGCAAUGCAAGCCAGAUGUGAAAGCCCGGGGCUCAACCCCGGGACUGCAUUUGGAACUGUGUAGCUGGAGUGGCGGAGAGGCAGGCGGAAUUCCUAGUGUAGCGGUGAAAUGCAUAGAUAUCACGCAGAACCCCGAUUGCGAAGGCAGCAUACCGGUGCACAACUGACGCUCAGGCACGAAAGCGUGGGUAUCGAACAGGAUUAGAUACCCUUGUA